UCUAAAGAAGAUAUAAAGAUUGCAACCUUUCUCGUUGAAGGAAGAAUAAGUUAUAAAUGAUAAAAAUAGAGGAUUCUAUCAAAGAUCAUCAUGAAAGCAAUUAAGUAAUGCACCUUGGGGAACUGAGUCCCUGCAGAAUCGCAGAAAAACGAAAACAUUGGAAGAUAAACGGCGAUCGGCGAAAAAUCAUCCAACACCAACUGAUUACUUAUCACGUACACAUAUUUCUGCAAACCGCGCCAAGCAGCAAAUCCUCGACUGGUCCAGGGCCAUUUAGAUGGUCUGAGAAUUGCGAACGACGAUCUACGUGCCAAGAAAGAAACAAAAAUACGAAGUAGGAUAGAGGGUAACGGAAAGAAGCGGACUUGGAGUCGCGACUAGAAGAAGGCUAAGUGGCCGAACGAGAUCGAAUCGGCUGGUGAAUUAGACGACGAUUGUUCGCUCCCAAGGACCGACGAAGGCUACUAAUCAGGAGCUUGCACUCGCCCCUCUUCAACGAAACGAGGCCGGUCUUCCUCGUGGCAACUCCUCGACGAUGUCUCUUUUCUCCUUUCCUGUUUUAUCCCCUCUACGACUUCGCUCAAGAGGACUCGUGAAAGUCAGAACUGGCGCUAACUCGACUCCACUAACUGGCAAUCAGAUCGCCUCUGUUGGGACAACAAACUCUGCGACUCCAUGUGUCUCCACCCCGUAAGCUCCGCUUGUAUAGCUUAUUUAUCGAAGAAGUUAGUUGGGGUUAAACAGCAGUAA